UGCCAAAUCCUGACUCUGCCAUCAGCAUGAAAUAAGCCUGUAAUGCUGGAACCGGGAUGCAACAGGAAGCGGGAUUUGUCGGACCAGAUGAGGAGUAGAACCCGGUGUGGACGUCUGCUGCAAUAGCCCAUCCGUGACAAGAACUGGCGAGUUGUUGGACCACUUCCUUCUUGAUCCCGCCAUCGCCCAAGAGGUCCUGCAUCUGCUGGCCCAGGCGGUGGAAAGGGCUCUGACAAGGAUAUAGAAAAAUUAACAUUGACAACAC